AUCUAUGGCCAUGCCACCCUGAACGUGCCCGAUCUCCUUUGAUCUUGGAAGCUAAGCAGGGUUGGGCCUGGUUAGUACUUGGAUGGGAGACCACCUAGGAAGACCAGGUGCUAUAGGUG
rnacentral:rRNA from 1 species